rnacentral:rRNA from 1 species
UACGGAGGAUGCAAGCGUUAUCUGGAAUGAUUGGGCGUAAAGCGUCCGCAGGUGGCAAUGUAAGUCUGCUGUUAAAGAGUCUAGCUCAACUAGAUAAAAGCAGUGGAAACUACAUAGCUAGAGUACGUUCGGGGCAGAGGGAAUUCCUGGUGUAGCGGUGAAAUGCGUAGAGAUCAGGAAGAACACCGGUGGCGAAGGCGCUCUGCUAGGCCGUAACUGACACUGAGGGACGAAAGCUAGGGGAGCGAACAGG